rnacentral:tRNA from 1 species
GGGCGGGUAGCUCAAUGGGGAGAGCGUCCGGUUUGCACCCGGAAGGUUGCGGGUUCAAGUCCCGUCCUGUCCACCA